rnacentral:misc_RNA from 1 species
GAUGAAGAACGUAGCGAAAUGCGAUAAGUAAUGUGAAUUGCAGAAUUCAGUGAAUCAUCGAAUCUUUGAACGCACAUUGCGCCCGCUAGUAUUCUGGCGGGCAUGCCUGUCCGAGCGUCAUUUCAACCCUCAAGCCCCCGGGCUUGGUGUUGGGGAUCGGCGAGCCUCCGCGCCCGCCGUCCCCUAAAUCUAGUGGCGGUCUCGCUGUAGCUUCCUCUGCGUAGUAGCACACCUCGCACUGGGAAACAGCGCGGCCACGCCGUCAAACCCCCAACUUCUGAACGUUUGACCUCGGAUCAGGUAGGAAUACCCGCUGAACUUAAGCAUAUCAAUAAGCGGAGGA